UACGUAGGUGGCAAGCGUUUGUCCGGAUUUAUUGGGUUUAAAGGGUGCGUAGGCGGCCCUGUAAGUCAGUGCUGAAAUAUCCCGGCUUAACCGGGAGGGUGGCAUUGAUACUGCGGGGCUAGAGUACAGAUGAGGUAGGCGGAAUUGACGGUGUAGCGGUGAAAUGCUUAGAUAUCGUCAAGAACACCUAUAGCGAAGGCAGCUUACUAGGCUGUAACUGACGCUGAGGCACGAAAAGUGUGGGGAUCAAACAGG
rnacentral:rRNA from 1 species